GAGCUGGGAGGAAAUAUUAAAGUAAUUCUUUUUCUUUCGCUAUCCCUGACUCCCACCCUCAGGUUAGGAUCCACCAACUGAGCAACAGAUUGAAGAGAAAAUACUGUGGUUUUUCUUUUUUUCCAUUAUGAAGAUAAAGAAAUCAUUACCAAGUUCUGGAAUCUGGGAAGCCCAAGAUAAAGGUACUAGCAGAUUUGAUGUCUGACGAAAGCCCAGUUUCUCAUUCAUAGAUGGCCAUCUUCCUGCUGUGUCCUCACAAGGUGGAAGAGGUCAGAAAGCUGGGGAGAUGGCAGAGUAAGAGGACCCUAAGCUCACCUCAUCCCACAGACACAACUAGAUAGCACUCACAUCAGUGUAAAUAACACAGAAAAUGGGCCGAAGACUGGAAGAACAGACUUUGCAACUAAAGGUAGGGAAGAGGCCAUACUGAAGAAGGUAAGAAGAGUGAAGGUGUGGUUUGGGAGUGAAAGAAACCAUGGCCAUUUAUGGCUGGACAGAGCUGGGUCUCAGAGAAGGGCAAGAAACAGACUGUCAUGCUGGGGAGACUGCACAAGGAAGAUGAAUCCCCAUAACAUUUGGCCAAACUUAGCAAGUUCUUACGACUAACAGAACUUAAAUACUGGAAUUUUAAAAAUUACUGAGCUUGGGGGGAGCCUGGAGGGUGUUAGGAAGCUGAGUCUCCACCUGCGUGGAGACAGCACCAGAGCCAGUGAAAAUACAGCACAGAAGGAACAGUUUGAAAAACACCUGUGGCAAGGGUGCUUGGGUGGCUUAGUCAGUUAAGCAUCCGACUUCAGCUCAGGUCAUGAUCUCAUGGUUCGUGAAUUCAAGCCCCGAGUUGGGGUCUGUGCUGAUGGCUCAGAGCCUGGAGCCUGCUUUGGAUUCUGUGUCUCUCUGUCUCUCUGCCCCUCCCCUGCUCACUCUCUGUCUCUGUCUCUCUCUCAAAAAUAAAUAAACUUUAAAAAAAGAAAAAGAAAAGAAAAAGACCUGUGGCAUAUGGGAGGGAGAGUGAUGUACUCAUUGCAGAGCAUGGCCCUGAGAAGCAAGGAUCACAAGGAGUCCCCUCUGGGAACAAAGAAACUGGCAAGUGCCAUUUCCUCCCUCUUCCCUUCAACAUGAGCACAGGGCCACUUGCUGUGGGAACCAGUUGAACAUCAACAUUCGCUGUCUAACUUGCUUAUACCAAGCCCUGUCCCCCUACACUUUGGCAGGUCUGCCCUUAGCAGUCAUGCUUGCCUCAGUCCCAGCACUGCAG